GCUGGCGGCAUGGAUUAGGCAUGCAAGUCGAACGGGAGCAGCAAUGCUCAGUGGCGCAAGGGUGAGGAACACGUGAACAACCUGCCUUCGAGUUGGGGAUAGCUUCUGGAAACGGGAGAUAAUACCGAAUAACAUCUCCGGAUCGCAUGAUUUGGAGAUCAAAGCAGCAAUGCGCUUGAAGAGGGGUUCGCGUCCCAUUAGCUAGUUGGUGAGGUAACGGCCACCAAGGCGAUGAUGGGUAGCUGGUCUGAGAGGACGAUCAGCCACAUUGGGACUGAGAUACUGCCCAGACUCCUACGGGAGGCUGCAGUCGAGAAUUUUGGGCAAUGGACGAAAGUCUGACCCAAGCAAUGCCGCGUGCGGGAUGAAGGUCUUCGGAUUGUAAACCGCUGUCAAGAGGGACGAAAUUUGACGGUACCUCUGGAGGAAGCCACGGCUAACUACGUGCCAGCAGCGGC
rnacentral:rRNA from 1 species